GGCGUGAGCCACCGCGACGGGCCGCCAUCCCUACCGUUUACAGACAGCGUCCAUCUCACUGGUGGGUCCCUAUGCAGUCCAACUUGCUCCACGUCUGAAUGUCAGUCCUAGAUACAAAGCAGAGAAGUUUAAAGUAGGGAAUGGCUUCUUUUUUCCUUUUACAAAACAUAAUGAUGGUAAGACACAAUAUUGGAGCUGGGAUGAAGGAGAAGUAGAUAUAAAGAUAUGGAGGGGCAUCCCUUAAGGGAUAUAAAUAGUUUCACAGAUGAAAUGCCUAAAGGAGAGAGAGGAGAGACAGAUGAGGAGACAAUUAUCUCAAAGGAGGAAAAUGGUCAAAAGGCAAAGAAUAAUGUGUGUGAACUCUCCGGUGCAUGUAGCCUAAGGAGAUUUGCUAGUUUGAGUCCUGGGAGAUGAGAUGGGGAAGAUGGGCCCAAGCUGCAACAUGAAGGUCCAUGAUGAACAGUUGGCAUCUCCUACAGUGCCUGCCACUUGCUCCUUCUUUCUUCUACCAUUUCUCUUUCUCCUUCAUUGUCUCCUCUGCUUACAGCCAGAAUCCAUAUCCUGUUCCAAGAUGCCUGUUCCAAACUCCCAUCACUAAAGUUUAGGUAAUGUUCAAUGCAGCCAAGGGAGCUAAGGUAAUGAACAAAACAGAGAAGUUCCUACCCUCCCUGAUGUUCAUUCUAGCAAAUGGAGACAGAUGAUAGAAACUGCACAUCAUUGAGCAAGAGGGACACCAUGGAUAAUGGAAAGAUCUACGGCAAGGCUGGCUGUCUGCCCUGUCUAAGGAGGACGUACUGGACCAUCCUGCUCUGCACAUCCAGAUGUGUCCAUGAAUACAUCCAUAAAACGAUGGCCUGUGGAAUCCUAUAGGAAAAUGAUCCAGAGCCUGGGCGGUCAGAAGGAACAAACACUUGAUUUACAAAAUAAAUCUUCUAUGUUUAUGUUUUAAAGACACACAGAGGAAAAA
ensembl:lncRNA LINC01580 long intergenic non-protein coding RNA 1580